rnacentral:misc_RNA from 1 species
AAAAACAGUUGUUAAAGAAAGGAUGAGCCUAGCAAGCUUGUUACUCGUGUGUGUGUGUGUGUGCGUCUGGAAGCUGUUAAGACUGAUUCUUUCUCUUCGAUGGCUUCUCUUCUUUCCUUCUCUCUCCCCAAGCCAAGCUUAACAAAAGCUACUUCAUCUACUUCAACCUCCACCGCACUUCCUACUCCGGAGAUUCUUGAAGAAAGAUUUGGUAGAAAGGGUAUCAAAUUCUUGGAAUCGAAUAACAUCCCAGUUGUUGAGCUAACAGUUAGAAAUGGCAGCUCUUUAAGGUUAUGGAUACCUGAUGCUCAUGUCACUUCCUACAAGCCAAAAGUUUAUUGGAAGGAUGAAGGUUUUGAGGAGCUUUUGUAUACUGUUCCAGGAAAAGACCCCAGUAAGGCAAGAGGUGGUAUUGGUUUGGUCAUCAAUGAUGCCUCUGAAGCUGGUUCCAAAGGGUCACUCAUUACUAGUUCUGAAUGGACUGUCAAGGAUGUUGAUUCUGAUGCCAUUGAUGCUCUCCAGGUAUUUCCUUUAUUUCAAAAUUUUCUGUUCAUUCCAUUCACCAUUCUUGAAACCAGUUCGCUCCCUCAUACUGAUUGGUUCUUUUGGGGAGGAUGUUGAGUUUGAUGCCAUUAAUUUUCUGUUAAUUGGUGGUCAAUUGCAACGAUGAGAAGGGAGACGAAUUUUAGGAUAAUUUAAGGGAACUACAAUUUGAGGCUCUUAGCCCCUUCAAGCUUUUUAUACCAAAUUUUCAGAAACAUGAGCCUUAAUCAAUCUAAAUUCACCGUAGACUGAACCUAUGGUAGUGGAUGAAACUCUCAUUGUAAGAUGAAAUCUGCAUUUCUUUUAGUUGCACAGCAACUAAUAGGAUGAAUAUCUAAUUUGGUUCAUGAUUUGUUCUACUGGUUUCUUGUUGGUGGAAUUAAGCUAUACCGGUGGAACUCUUGAUAUAACAUACAUCGUCUCACUAUACCCAGUGAGCAUUGCAACAGCAGUUAUAGUAAGAACAAUGGCCGCAAGCCUGUGACUCUAACUAGUGCUAUUCUAAGUCAUCUCAAAUUCAAGAGGAGAGGAAAGGCAGCAAUCCAAGGAUUCAAGGGUUGCUCCUAUUGUCCAUUCCCUCCUUUACCUUCUCCUUUCGAAAUCUUAUCUCCAGGUGAAGCCAUGAAAUCUGAGUCUUCAGGAUUGUUUGAUUUUGGUUUAGAGACCGAGGACAAACCAGGUACAUGGACAGUUCAAGAUGUACCCUUCUCAAUUUUGAAGAAUAAGUUCAGUAGGGUUUAUGCUGCUCCACCACAAGAGAGACUAAAACCAAUUUAUAACACCCCACCUUCAAAAUAUGAAACACUUGAUCAGGUAUGAGUUUGACAUUUAUAUCAGAUCAAUAGGCUUUAGCAAAUUUCAUUUUGAAAAACUAUCCAUUCUAUUGAUGUUUCAUCAAUCAGAUAUAUUACAAAAAGUAUUUAUGGCAACCCUGUUGGUCUAUUUCAGGGACUUGAGCUUUUCUUCAGGGUGAUUCGGAUGGGUUUUGAAGACACAUACAUAGGCAGCCCAGGUUCCUUAUCAGAGAAGUAUGGGCAGGAGUAUUUUAUCUGCUCUGGCCCUGCUGCAAUGCUGGUGCCUGUUAUUGUGGAACCAGGUGAAGAUUGGAGAGGGGAACAGGUUAUUGAGCAUGAUAAUUUGUAAUUAUAUAACAAAAUUAAACACUCAUCUUACAUUUUUUUUUCAGUUUCCUUUGUUCAUCUCACAAUCAAUCUUGUAAUGACACAGUUAUAUUUGCUCAAGAGAAGUCAUAAUAGUUCAUUACUCUUUAAUGGUAAUUUUGAUUUAAGCCUAAAAAAGAGAACUAGAAGAUUGGAGAUUUGUACUUGUAAUAGUUUACUUAAGUUCCAUGGUAGCUUGGAAAGAGAAGGCCUGAGCUUAGCUACAAAAAAUUUGUAGUUGAAAACCAAUUUAGAAAUCAAUAAAUUCGUUUUGCAGACAAGAUAAGAUUCAAAUAUUUUGUUUUUUAUUUAUAAUGCACUGAAUGAAAUGACAACAAAAU